rfam:Ornithorhynchus anatinus chromosome 3, whole genome shotgun sequence.
CCCUUCUCAGGGUAGCACCUGGAGAGUUUCCAGUACUCUACCAGUCACGGCUACGGGAGAGAGAGUCAAGCAGAGGCCUGUCCAUGCCAUUCCUAGCUUGGGCAGUGGCUAGCGAGUGGAAGGUAAUCUGCUACAAGU